GAUGAACGCUGGCGGCGUGCCUAAUACAUGCAAGUCGAGCGAACGGACGAGAAGCUUGCUUCUCUGAUGUUAGCGGCGGACGGGUGAGUAACACGUGGAUAACCUACCUAUAAGACUGGGAUAACUUCGGGAAACCGGAGCUAAUACCGGAUAAUAUUUUGAACCGCAUGGUUCAAAAGUGAAAGACGGUCUUGCUGUCACUUAUAGAUGGAUCCGCGCUGCAUUAGCUAGUUGGUAAGUUAACGGGUUACCAAGGCAACGAUGCAUAGCCGACCUGAGAGGGUGAUCGGCCGCACUGGAACUGAGACACGGUCCAGACUCCUACGGGAGGCAGCAGUAGGGAAUCUUACGCAACGGGCGAAAGCCUGACGGAGCAACGGCGCGUGAGUGAUGAAGGUCUUCGGAUCGUAAAACUCUGUUAUUAGGGAAGAACAUAUGUGUAAGUAACUGUGCACAUCUUGACGGUACCUAAUAAGAAAGCCACGGCUAACUACGUG
rnacentral:rRNA from 1 species